rnacentral:rRNA from 1 species
UACGUAGGGUGCAAGCGUUAAUCGGAAUUACUGGGCGUAAAGCGUGCGCAGGCGGUUGUGCAAGACAAGUUUGAAAUCCCCGGGCUUAACCUGGGAACUGCAUUUGUGACUGCACGGCUAGAGUGUGUCAGAGGGGGGUAGAAUUCCACGUGUAGCAGUGAAAUGCGUAGAUAUGUGGAGGAAUACCGGUGGCGAAGGCAGCUCGCUGAGACGUUACUGACGCUGAGACGCGAAAGCGUGGGGAGCAAACAGG